rnacentral:rRNA from 1 species
UACGUAGGGCGCAAGCGUUGUCCGGAAUUAUUGGGCGUAAAGAGCUCGUAGGCGGUCUGUCGCGUCUGCUGUGAAAUCUCAGGGCUUAACCCUGAGCUUGCAGUGGGUACGGGCAGACUAGAGUGCGGUAGGGGAGACUGGAAUUCCUGGUGUAGCGGUGAAAUGCGCAGAUAUCAGGAGGAACACCGAUUGCGAAGGCAGCUCGCUGGGACGUAACUGACGCUGAGACGCGAAAGCGUGGGGAGCAAACAGG